AUUGCCUGGGCCCUGGCCCAGGGAUCCUGAGGAAGUGACAUCCACGUGUCCUUCCAAUCAGUGAGCUAGAGGCCCUCCCUGCCAGGUCUCUCCCAAGCCUCCUCACCAACAAUGAUGUCCCUGGAUAUUCUGCCCCAAAAGGCCAUUCGAAAUAUCUAAUGACUUACGGGGAGAGAAGUUGGUGUUAGGGUCGGGCAGGGAUGAUAUCUUCCCUCAACACAUCAGGGGUUCCCUAAGGAUGAAAAUGAAGCCUCCCCUCCAGUGCUAACAUAAGGCUCUGGGCCCAGCCCUUCAUCUGCGAUGAGCCUCCCAAACACUGAGCUAGCUCUGGCAAUGUGUGUGUCAACCUCAUUAUCAACGUGUACGUGCCUAGAAAGUGUACGGCCAAGAUAAGAAAACUGAGGCUCAGGAACAUCGUGACUUGUCCAAAGUCAUAUAGGAAGGGAUGGAAGUCAGGACCCCGGCUCUCAAUCUAGCGCUCUUCUCAUAGCAUCACCUUGUUCAGAUGUUACCAAAAAGAUGGCGGAUAGAAAAUAUAGGCAUAGAAUCACAUCCAGAGAAAGAACUGUGGAGUCUGAAUGCAGAUUAAAGCAGACUACUUUCUCUCUUUUUC